rnacentral:rRNA from 1 species
ACGAACGCUGGCGGCGUGCUUCACACGUGCAAGUCGAACGGAAAGGCCCUGCUUUUGUGGGGUGCUCGAGUGGCGAACGGGUGAGUAACACGUGAGUAACCUGCCCUUGACUUUGGGAUAACUUCAGGAAACUGGGGCUAAUACCGGAUAGGAGCUCCUGCUGCAUGGUGGGGGUUGGAAAGUUUCGGCGGUUGGGGAUGGACUCGCGGCUUAUCAGCUUGUUGGUGGGGUAGUGGCUUACCAAGGCUUUGACGGGUAGCCGGCCUGAGAGGGUGACCGGCCACAUUGGGACUGAGAUACGGCCCAGACUCCUACGGGAGGCAGCAGUGGGGAAUAUUGCACAAUGGGCGGAAGCCUGAUGCAGCAACGCCGCGUGCGGGAUGACGGCCUUCGGGUUGUAAACCGCUUUCGCCUGUGACGAAGCGUGAGUGACGGUAAUGGGUAAAGAAGCACCGGCUAACUACGUG